GGUUGUCUGCUUUUCUCCUGAAAUUCUGAUAUGAGGGAUGGGCUGGGAUCGCUAUUACUGGGCAGAUGGUUUUCUUUGUAGUCUGGGGGCUGUAGGUGUUGACACUGAUUCCAGUGACAAGAUGACAUGACUGGGAGUCAGUAGACAUGCAAAGAGAGGACACCCUAGAACUUCUUCCUGAAGUGGCUCUUAGCUUAUUUUCUAAGCAGAGUUCAUUCUGGUGAGGCAAGAAGUAGAAUGUCAUCUUUCACUCUAAUGCUUUUUAUACCAUAGAUUUGAGACAACUAGCCUGUUAUUCAGCCCAAUAUCCCCCCAUGGUUUUCCCCCAAUCUCCCUAGCCUCUGCUGCGAGAAGUUCUGGAGAAGCAGCCAGUGCUAAGCCAGACCGAGGCCCGCGACUUAGUAGAACGCUGCAUGCGAGUGCUGUACUACCGAGAUGCCCGUUCUUACAACCGGUUUCAAAUCGCCACUGUCACCGAAAAAGGUGUUGAAAUAGAGGGACCAUUGUCUACAGAGACCAACUGGGAUAUUGCCCACAUGAUCAGUGGCUUUGAAUGAAAUACAGAUGCAUUAUCCAGAACUGAAGUUGCCCUACUUUUAACUUUGAACUUGGCUAGUUCAAAGAUAGACUCUUCUUUUGUAAAGUAAAUAAAUUCUUCAAAAUGC
rnacentral:lncRNA from 1 species